AGAGCUUACAAUUGAUCUGACAGUUACACUGAGCUUCACUCCAGGGUUCUCUCUAGAUGUUCAUCCUCCUCUUCAGCUCUGCAAGGAUACAUAGAGAAUGCUCAGAAGCACAGCCCCCUGCAUGGCUAAAUCAGUGCCUGACCAGCGGCUACAUUAGUGGGCUCUACAUGUAAAGGGGUUAGACAGAGACUUGCCCCCUAACAAUGAGGCUGCUAAUCCCCGUUAACCUGUUACUGACCCCCCAAUGGGGGCCCCCACCAGAGGGUGACCUGGAGACUGGGUGAAAACAAGCAAAACAGCAGA